rnacentral:rRNA from 1 species
GACAGAGGGUGCAAACGUUGUUCGGAAUCACUGGGCGUAAAGCGUGUGUAGGCGGUGCUGCAAGUCGGAUGUGAAAGCCCUGGGCUCAACCCGGGAAGGGCAUCCGAGACUGCGGGACUUGAGUCUCGGAGAGGUUGGCGGAAUUCUCGGUGUAGAGGUGAAAUUCGUAGAUAUCGAGAGGAACACCUGCGGCGAAGGCGGCCAACUGGACGAAGACUGACGCUGAGACACGAAAGCGUGGGGAGCAAACAGG